AACGCGAAGAACCUUACCCAGGUUUGAAAUACAGGAGACGAUAUCAGAGAUGAUAUUUUCCGCAAGGACUGCUGUACAGGUGCUGCAUGGCUGUCGUCAGCUCGUGCCGUGAGGUGUUGGGUUAAGUCCCGCAACGAGCGCAACCCUUACUCAUAGUUGCUACCCGCAAGGGAGAACUCUAUGAGGACUGCUCCGGAUAACGGAGAGGAAGGUGGGGAUGAGGUCAAGUCAGCAUGGCCUUUAUGUCCAGGGCUACACACGUGUUACAAUGCGCGCCACAAUGCGUCGCGAACCCGCGAGGGGGAGCCAAUCGCAAAAAAGCGCGCUCAGUUCGGAUUGCAGUCUGCAACUCGACUGCAUGAAGCCGGAAUCGCUAGUAAUGGCGCAUCAGAACGGCGCCGUGAAUACGUUCCCGGGCCUUGUACACACCGACGCGUA
rnacentral:rRNA from 1 species